rnacentral:rRNA from 1 species
GGGGCAGAGUGACAGGUGGUGCAUGGUUGUCGUCAGCUCGUGUCGUGAGAUGUUGGGUUAAGUCCCGCAACGAGCGCAACCCUUGAUCUUAGUUGCCAGCAUUCAGUUGGGCACUCUAAGGUGACUGCCGGUGACAAACCGGAGGAAGGUGGGGAUGACGUCAAAUCAUCAUGCCCCUUAUGACCUGGGCUACACACGUGCUACAAUGGGCAGAACAAAGGGCAGCGAAGCCGCGAGGCUAAGCCAAUCCCACAAAUCUGUUCUCAGUUCGGAUCGCAGUCUGCAACUCGACUGCGUGAAGUUGGAAUCGCUAGUAAUCGCGGAUCAGCAUGCCGCGGUGAAUACGUUCCCGGGCCUUGUACACACCGCCCGUCACACCCCGAGAGUUUGUAACACCCGAAGUCGGUGAGGUA